UUGUGUGACUUUGCUUUUGCAUUUGGCCCGUCCUUUGCGACUUUGCCUGUCCUUAUCGAUUUUCAGCGAAAUUUCACAGGCUCACGGCGCACGUCAGUGCCAUGCGAAAGCGAAGUUUCACUUGUCGCGCUGAGUUCGUUCGUGUCGCAGCAGCAGCAGCAGUAGCAGAAGCACUAGCGAUUGCCGUUAUACCGUUUACCGUUCGUUCGUUACAUAAAGAAGAGAUUCCAAUAGAAAGUUUAAGUGCGCUGCUGUCUGACGGCAUAGAUCAGUGAAAGUUUCCAGGAAUAACCAAAUCAGCACAUUGUGAUAAGCAGUACGAAGCGCGACCCCACCCCCCUCCCUUCAGAAUCGAAUCGAAUCCAAUUUCAAUGUAAUAAGUCGGAAAUUGAGUGUAUCCUCUCACUCUGUAUCGCUCUCUUUGGAGACUGAAGUAUCUGGCAUCUGGCUGCGAAAACGCAGCACGCUGCUAAACGUGCCGUAACACGGGCGUUGAAAAAAGUUUCAGGUAGCAGCAGCCGCAACGGCAGCGGGAGCUAAGAGCAGAAAGAGCAGGAAGAACGAAAUAGGAACGACUUGCAAAAAAGACAAAACAAAAGCAAAGCCUAAAAGGAA